GCUGGCUUAGCUCAGUUGGUAGAGCAGCUGAUUUGUAAUCAGCAGGUCGGGGGUUCGAAUCCGUCAGCCAGCUCCA
rnacentral:tRNA from 2 species